CCCGGGAAAGGCAGUGUUGUUUUUACGUUCUUUGUGAAAGUUGGUUGGCGGUGUGUUCGGGAUUGGGAGGGGGUUCUCGCCCCUUUGGACGGGGAGCCGGAGGCGGAUUAUUCUCUGUGGGGCAACACCAACAAUUUUCCUUCGGUUAAAAAUGACAAGGAAUUUGUCUAUGGGAAUGUCUAACACAACACACAUGUUUUGCUGUCUCUUUUGAUAUUUAAGAAGUGGAGCAAGGGAUUCACUCGAUUAUCCUUCCUGCUCAGACUGUGGCGAGGGAUUUACUCGGUCAUUUCAAUUGAAGGUACAUCAGCAAGUUCACACCGGGACAAGGCCAUUCACCUGUUCUGUUUGUGAGAAAGGAUUCAGUCGUCUUCCCACCUGUGGACACACUAGUCAGAUCACACUGGGCAGAAGCUCUUCAUCUGCUGAAUUUGUGGGGAAAGAUUCAUUUUGUCAUCUAACCUAAUGGCUCACCAGCGAGUUCACACCAGAGAGCGGCCAUUCACCUGCUCAGACUGUGGGAAGAGAUUCACUCAGUCAUCCCAACUGAAGGCACAUCAGAGAGUUCACACUGGAGAGAGACCAUUCACUUGCUCAGAAUGUGGGAAGGGAUUCACUCAGUCAUCCGACCUACUCACACACCAGUCAGUUCACACUGGCGAAAGGCCAUUCACCUGCUCAGACUGUGGGAAGGGAUUCACUCAGUCGUCCGCCCUAAUGGCACACCGACGAGUUCACACUGGGGAGCGGCCGUUCUCCUGCUCGAACUGUGGGAAGAGAUUCACUCGGUCAUCCCAACUGAAGGUACAUCAGCGAGUUCACACCGGGGAGAGGCCAUUCACUUGCUCAGACUGUGGGAAGGGAUUCACUCGGUCAUCUAAGCUGAAGGUACAUCAGCAAAUUCACACUGGGUAGAGGCUGAUCACCUGCUCAGACUUCGGGAAAAGAUUUUCUCAGCCAAAUCAACCAAGUAGGCAUCAUUGAGUUCUUACCGGGGAGUGUCCGUUCACCUGCUGUGAAUGUGGUAAGCAAUUAACUCAGUAAUCAGACACAGACAUACUUUAUUAUUCCUGAGGGAAAUUGGGUUUCGUGACAGUCGCACCAACCAAGAACAGGAAAUAUAGCAAUAUGAAACCAUAAAUAAUUAAAUAAUACUAAGUCAAGUAUGCUGUUACGUACCCAGUAACUGGGUUAACAGACCAGCAGAAAUGGAAGGAUAUGUUGGUGUCUGGUGGUUCUUUAACUAAAGGUGUUUAUUAGUAAAAUAAACCAAAGAGUAUCAAUAAUGCAAAUAUACAUAUAAAACAGGUUAGCAAUAAUAAACAAGCUCUAUCAAUAUCUAGGGGUAUAUGAAUAGUCAUAAGAGAAUAUAAAGUUCAGUUCAGUUCGUCCAUGCUGAGGUAGCUGUUGCUGUGCUGCAAUUGGAGAGAGAGAGAGGGGGGCAGAAAGCGACCAAGAGAUUGGGCAGCUGCAGCAAGCAAACCUUCUGUUGUCUUCUUAUUCCGUUGUACCAUUGUGGUCAUUCGGUUAUGACCCCUCCGUUCUCAGCUAGACUGUUCUUCAGUGGUGGACUCAUCACCCUGGCAUGACUGGACACACACACAAGUCCCCACCAGCCCUGCCGUCACACUGUGAGCCUUUGUGACCGAUCUUCUGAUUCGGUCCUCUAAGCCCCCACCUUCCUGUGGGUGCACAACACUCGGUCAGUGUCCACUGGUGUGUUUGAAGAGUGUCUCCCCAGACCCGUCUUUUAUCCCCACUGACGGGGUAUCAGCCAUCCAUCAACUCAAUAUGUCUAUGUCCAUCAAGCUAGGCCACUCCUGCUGUCUCUUCAGGAAUGUUAACGAGCAAAGAAGUGUCCCUGCAGCAAAAGGUUUCGUUUACCUGUCCAUCAGUGAAGCAGCCAUAAUACCUAAAUCAGUCGUCUCUCUCUUAUCUGUAGCAGAUAUCUCUACCUCUGUUCUUCAUCUCUCUCUCACUCUCAUUAGCUGCAUAGUCCUCAAAGGGGGGGGGGAAGGGUCAGCUCUGGACCCCAUUUCCAUCAGGUCUGUUCAGCACACAUAACACCCCCACCCUUCAAAGAAUCUUCACCGGGUUGAAAAUUCACUAGUAAAGCACAUUACAGAGUCUAAUCUAAUACAGAAGUGGUCUUUAACUACAAGGAUAACACAGGUAUACUUUCAAAUUAACACCUGGAUAAACAAUCAGCAAUUACAUUGUCAUUUCCCUUUACAUUUUGUAUUUUAAUAUCAAAUUCUUGUAACAACAGACUCCAACUAAAUAACCAUGUAUUUUUAUUCUUCAUGUUUGUCAAAAAUACCAAGGGGUUGUGAUCAGUAUAGACUAUCACUGGUUUCUACGCUGGACAAAUGUCGACCUCAAAUUGCUGUAAUGCCAGGAUUACCAUUCUGAUCGUCCAGAGUGGGCAUGUUUCUGUUCUGACCUUCUCCAUGUUUCUGUGACAGAGAAGCUGGCCAAACCUGAUUGGAAGGGGAAUCUGGUAGGAAUGACGAUGGAGCAGCAAUGGCUGGAGUUUCUGGGAGCAACUCGGGAGGUAUGAAAUAUCUAAAGGACCAGUGUUUGAGUAAACGAGACUCACCAAACAUUCUCCUGAUUGAAUCACUGGAAUCUCCGAGUCAGAUGUGUUCUCUCCAGUCGGUGCUCUCAGUCCUCGGGCUGGUUCACUUGUUGCUGUUCCCUCGUCUUCAGUCAUGGUUUGCCUCCAGUUGGGGUUUUUCUUCAAAUAAAUCUCUCACCACAGGUCUAACUUUAACCAGAGAGACAAUGAAGCACAUUAAUAAUGAAAAGGAGAACUAAACAUUUCUGCUUAAUGUUACUAAGAACAAAACUCACUGAAAUUUAAACACUGAAGGCAGAUUUAACGAUCUCAGUGAACAAUCUUUUAUUGUCCCUCACAUCUCACAGAACGAUAUGGGAUAAGAAGGAGCCAUCACUCAGUCAUGGUAAGAUAUAAGACAGAAUUAGGUGAUUCGAUCCAUCUGGUCUGCACGGCUGAUUUUUAUUCCAGCACCAUAUCCCUGUCUUCCUCCUGUAAACCUGAAGCUACUCAGCAAUCAUGAAUAUAUUAAUCUGUCACAAAUAUAUCCGAAUUGGAGCCUCAACCAACCUCUGUGGCAACAAAUUCCACAGAUCAGACACCUUAAGGCCAAUUUUUUUUUUCUCAUCUCAGUUUUAAAGAGAAGCAUCUUUACUCUGAGACAGUGCUGUCAGAUCACAGACUCGCUGUCUAAUGGAAACAUCCUCUCCAUGUCCACUGUAUCGAGGCUUUUCAGCAUUCAGUCGGUUUACUUAACCAUACAUCCCUCCACCACCCCCACCAUCCCUCUGAACUCCAUUGAGCACAGGUCCAGAACCAUCAAAUGCUCCUCAUACAUAAAGCCGAUCAUUCCUGAGAUUACUUAUGUACACCUUGUUAGCAACAACUGUACUGAACACAUUUCCAGGAAUAACAAACAAAUUGGUACCAGGAUAAUUUAAAGGGAACAUUGUGCUUUCUUUUGUGUUCUACUAUCACAUGUGUUCGCGCGUGGCCAAGUGGUUAAGGCGUUCAUCUAGAGAUCUGAAGGUUGCUAGUUCGAGCCUUGGCAGAGGUUGCAUGUGUGUCCUUGUGUCCAGAUCAGCACAUCACAGGAAACAUUCUCACCCCGAGACUUCCCAGUCUCUCGGUAAAGCAGGCAGUGAAAUCAAAGAUCCCCACAAUCUGGGACGUUCUCCUUUCUCACCCACCCCAGUCCGGGAGAAGACACAACAGCCAUAAAGCUCCAGGUCAAAUGUGAGGAGCCUCAGGAAACGAGGCCAGUUCGGGGGAAGUUAACGGGACUCGGGGCCAACAUCAGAUUUCCCCAACACAACAUGGAGGAUGCGUGACCACCCACCUGGAGAUUGUGAACAUGCACAAAGAGAUUGUUACAUCUAUGGUUAAAUGGGAUCACGUGACUGGUGGGGUCUAACAUCCCAGGCAUAGUUUCCAGCUUCCUAGCACUCAGUGGAAAUAAACAAACUUGCCCCUCACAUCUCCUCUCACCUUAAAUGUGUCAGACAUUUCAAACCCCCAGGAAAAAACAUACCCUCUGUCCACUCUACCUAUUCCUCUCGUAAUCUUGUAAACGUCCAUCCAGUCUCACCCCAGCCUGGAGAAAACAACACAAGUUUGUCCAGCCUCUUGAAUUAGCUCAUGCCCUCUAAUCCAGGCAGUGUCCUGGUAAACCUCUUCUGCGCCCUCUCCAAAGCCCGGACAUCCUUCCGAGAAUGGGGGGCGGCCAGAACAGUAUGAAACACUCCAGAUGUGAGCUAACAAGUUUUACAAAGCUGCAACACAACUUCAUGACUUUUGAACUCAGUGCUUCAACUAUUAAAGACAACCAUGCCAUUUACCUUCUUAACCACCCGAUCAAUCUGUGCAGUCUCUUUCAGGGAGCGAUGAACUUGGAGUCUAAGAUCCCUCUGACCAUCGACUCUGCUCAGGGUUUUGCAUUUAACACUGUACUGUCUCAUACAUUCAGGGGUGCAGUGCUACCAGAGCUCACAGCAGCGCCGCUCUGACACCUCUGUAAAAAAGUCAAUAUAAACAAGCGCGGAAUUUAACAACCCCGGAUAUUAAAUAGAGCGAAUUUUACAGAAGCGGGGGUGUUGGCUGGUGGGGAGAAAUACCACUAAUAACAUUAGGAUAUUUGAUUGUUUUUGGUGAAAUCCUGGAGCUGUGACUGUUUUUUAUUUAGGUAUUUGUGAAAUUCCUUCUCGCUCGUCCCGUUGUCCAAGGAAUUUGGGAAAUACCUGUACACAAAUGCAAGCAUUUUUCCGCUCUUUCCAAUGGAUACCAUUGGAUUCCAGGAAGGAGCUAUAUUAAGCACGGAAUGAACAUCGAAACCCAUGCUUAAGAGUCGAAAAUAAUGAAAGAAAAAUACACAAGCUAAUCAUCCAAAAUCCUCUUCUACACCUGGAUAAAUUUAGUUUUGUUUUGGAAGCCAAAUGGAAAAAAAAAUUCGAGGCUACAAGAGAGCUUUACGUCAUUUCAUAUCAUUAGUAGCUGAUUAACUCCUUGGCCUCGCUCCACCAACUGUAGUUGAUUGAAAAGAGGCUUUUUUUCUCUUUGUGUUGAUAGGAAAAAGAGUAACUUAGUGAGGCAAUGAACGAGAUGAAAUGCAUUUCCAAACCUCCCAAAUGGUUGCUCUCCUCCCAUUAACAUUUGUCACUUCCAAAAUACAAUAUUUUCUAUUCGUAUAGUUGCGAUAAUAAUUUAUGUAAAGAUUCUAGCUUCUUUAACUUUUUAUAUAUUUAAACACUAAACAGGAUGUAUAAAGGUCGAACCAUGUAACACCAGACUUGUGAGGAUAUUUUGAGUAUCGACACUCACAGGUACACUUCAAUAUAUUGAGAAAGGGAUGGAGCAGUGGACCCAGAGUGAAGUGAUAAGCAGGUGAGAGGACGUACAAAGACAGAGAGGAUGAGAGGGAGUGGGACGGAGGGGUGUGAGGUAAAUUUGUUCACCGGAAGGGGAAAUCGAUAUUCAUGCCAUCAGGGUGGGUGGGGGCACCCAGACGGAAUACAAGUUGCUGAUCCCGCACCCUGAGGGUGGCCUCAUCUUGGCAAGGGAUGGGAUGACACGUCGGAACGGGAAUGGGAAUCGGAAUUGAAAUGUUUGGACACCGGGAAGUCCCGCUCGGAGUGGAUGGUUCAAAGAUUAAUUUAUUAUCAAAGCAGGAAUUCAUAAAUAACGCUGAGUUUUUUUUUCCUUCUCCAGAGAACCACGAAACAAAGAAAUCGUGAAAGUCGUUCAGAGAGAGAAAAAACUGAAACUCCCUCCCCACCCCCCGCAUCAAAAGGACGGCAUCCCGAUCAUCAACCCCCAAAACCCACCCCUCCCGCACAAAAGGGAAGAAAAAUAUCGACACCCGUUAAAAAUCACCCCUACCCCGCACAACUGCGGAGGAGCCGGUGUCACCAGUGUCGAGGCGGCCGCAUCGGGAGCAGCGGACACAACAGGCGACCCCGGAAGAUUCACAGGUGAAUUGUCGCCGCUCCUGGAAGGAUGUUUGGACAACGGAGAGAGUUCGGCCGUCCGGCCCUGUCACUGUGACACCCCGAACUCCACAUCAAAUCCGUCCAAAUGAAUCUGGGUGAACUUUAAUGACCAAUAAAUAUAAUUCCUCUCAGCGAUUAGCUGUCUGAAUGAUUCCCUGACUCUGAGAGGAAGGGGUAUCUAUGGUCCACAGUGUCAGGGUGUUGAGUUUACCAGGAGACAAAGACUGCAGGGACGAGAGGUUUUCUGUUGACUAAUACACUGUGUGUGGACCCCGCUGGCAAUUCUGGUGUUAUGACCCGAAUCGAGACAAACACCACGCUGCCCACUCCACCAACAACACGGCACAGCCGUACACAUAACAGGGGACUUUACAUCCCACAACACUGGAUUCAGUGAUGAAACCCGUCAUUAAUGUUGUCGUCUCACCGAAAAGUCCAUUAACCCUAACCCUGCAAUAUGGUGUUAAAUCCCGCUCCCCAUAUUAACACGGGUUAUACAGUCCAAAGAACAAACUGCCGGAGGAACUCAGUGGGUCGGACAGCAUCUGUGGAGGGAGAUGGACCGUCAACAUUUCGGGCCGAGACCCUCCCUCUGGACUGAGAGUGGACGGGAAAUAGUCAGAGAAAAGAGGUGAGGGGUAGGGAUGGGGCAUGAGCUGGAGAGUGAGAGGUGGAUUCAGGUGAGGGGGGAGGUGGAAGGUGAAAAUAGUGACAGGGGUGGGAGCUGAGUGGUUGGGGCAACACGGGGCUGCAGAAGAUGGAAAUUAAUUCCAUGAACAAUGAGGUUAGAGAGUAUUUGUUAUACAGAGUGCAAUGAAGAGUCACCUGACUGAUCCCUGGAGAGGUGGGGUCAUAACCUGAAGACAGAUCAAAUGUGAUAACUCUAAAUGUCAUUUAGAGAAUCGAGGACUGAGAGGUGAACACAUUGAAAUGCAGAACAUCAUUACCGGUUGAACCAGUGAUCCCAGUCUCUGAAAAAGGGGGUGGACUGUCCGGGACUGAGAUGAGGGGAAACUCCGAGGGUUGUGAAUGUCUGUAAAACAAUGUAAUCACUCUUAUGUACUGAAUAUUACCAUGUAUUAUUUUACUAGACACAUUUUGCUAUGUAUUUUUUACUCGGUACCUUGUAUUCUCUUAGCAACAUACUGUGGCAGUUAAAGAACACCUGUUUCGCAUUAGCAAUACUAGUGAGCAGAAAUGUACAUAUAUACAACAGCAUGGCUUCUGAAGAGAUAACGGUGGCAGGGAGGAUGGUAUGAGCAGGAAAUGUAUUGUGAGGGAGGUGAAGGGAGGCUGACUGCUCUACGUGUACGUGUAGCUUCACCUUUGUCCCCUUCAGACAACGCAGUGAGAUCCGGAUCAAAUAGCUCCGCACAAUUAAAAUAGAUUAUUACAUUUACACAAUUAGAAUAGCUUAUUACAUUUUUUUAUAUUUUUGUACUAUAUAUAUAUAUACACUUUAAGUCACAAUUGUUAAAAUCUUUUGUUAAGAAUUAGGUUCUACUGCUACCGCAGAGACAACGAAUUUUAUGGCAUAUGCUGGUGCUAUUAAACUUGAUUCUGAUAUUGAUAUGGGAGACCCAUCACCGGUCACCUGAUCCCAGUUACUGCAGAUCGUAAUGUGAGAUUGAAGACUUUUCCAUAUAUUUGCGUUCCACAGAAAUGACAACUGGUCAGUUUCUUUCUGUGGUUCCGGAGCAGAAGCUCAGUCUGUCUAAUAUUUCCACACAAUUAAAGUGGCGUAUUUGUUUAUCAUCAUCACGUACUGAGCUUCAGUGAAAACCUUGCCUGAUGUACCAUCCACACAGAUCGAUACAUUACAACAGUACAUUGAGCUCAUAGACAACAAAGAAAUAACUGUAACAAAGUAUUAUGGCUGCAGAGAAAGUGCAGUGCAGAUAGACAUAUGGUGCAGGGUCACGUCGAGUUACAUUGUGAGGCCGAGUACAUUUUAUCAUUCAUUUUGGUUAUAACUGCAGACAGGAAGCCAUCCUUCAGCCUGGUGGUACACCAGGUAUACCUUUAAGGCUUUUGUAUCUCUCUGCCAAUGUGGGAGUGGGUUUGCAGCAACAAUGUCCAGGUUAUGAGGUUUUUUAUGUACAUGGCCUGCUUUUCCGAGCGAGGGGAAGUGUAGGGAGAGUCCAUGGAGUGGAGGCUUGUUUCUCUGAUGUUCUCUGCUCUCCAAAGCUCUUUGAAGUUCCUUGUAGUUAUGGGCAGAGCAGAAGCCAUACAAAGGCGUGAAGUAUCGACAAGGAGCUCAGAGACCUCGGCCUUCACCCUGCCUUGAGUAGCUGGAUCCUGGAAUUCCUGUCAGAUUGUUGGCAGGUGGUAAGAGCGGGCUCCAUCUCCUCUGUCUCUCUGACCCUCAGCACACAUAACCCACAGGGUUGUCUCUUUGUCCCUCUCCUUUACUCUCUGUGCAGCCAUGACUUGUGUUGCCACCCACAGCUCCAAUCUGCUAAUUAAAUUUGUUGAGAAUACUACAUUGAUUGGCCUAAUCUCAUAUAAUAUCUUUCAAUCGAUCAAAUGCCUCCUGACAAGGUUCAGUCCAAACAAACUUUUCACCCUUCUUCAGGAGAUUAGUCAGAGGAAGAGCGAGAGCAGCAAAGUUCUUACAGAACUUACGAUAAUAUCCAUCCAUUCCCAGAAACCUUCUAAGAGCCUUCUUACCAGUCAGAAUAGGAACUUGAGAAAUUGCCUGGACUUUUGCCUGAACAGGAGCCAACUUGCCUUGACCUACAACAUAGCCAAGACAGGUCACAGUGGCAUGUCCAAAUUCACUCUUAGCUAACUGUAAGGUCGUCCUGAGAAAACCUGUCAAACAGUUUUUCUACUGCAGAGAUAUGCUCUUCCCCAGUGUCACUCCCUGUGACUAAGUCAUCAAUAUAGGCAUCUGUGUGUUCUAACCCUCGAAUUUCAAAAUCAAUCAUUCUCUGGAAUGUUCCUGGAGCAUUUUUCUUUCCAAAAGGCAAAACAUUGUAUUCAUACAACCUAGAUGGUGUCACAAAUGCAGAAAUUUCUCUACCUCUCUCCAUCAAUGGAACACACCAAUACCCUUUCAACAGAUUAAUCUUUGUAAGAAAUUAGCUA